AUUGAACGCUAGCGGGAUGCCUAACACAUGCAAGUCGAACGGAGUGGCCAACGGGCGAGUAAUGUAUCGGAACGUGCCCAGUAGCGGGGGAUAACUACGCGAAAGCGUAGCUAAUACCGCAUACUCUUGGUGCGGCCGAUAUCGGAUUAGCUAGUUGGUGGGGUAACGGCUCACUAAGGCGACGAUCCGUAGCUGGUUUGCGAGGAUGAGCAGCCACACUGGGACUGAGACACGGCCCAGACUCCUACGGGAGGCAGCAGUGGGGAAUAUUGCACAAUGGGGGAAACCCUGAUGCAGCCAUGCCGCGUGUGCGAAGAAGGCCUUCGGGUUGUAAAGCACUUUUGGCAGGGAGGCGGUACCUGCAGAAUAAGCACCGGCUAACUACGUGCCAGCCGCCGCGGUAAUUC
rnacentral:rRNA from 1 species